UUAAAUGAUGAUAAUUAUGCGCUAAAAUUAAAUUCAUACUACUAUGUAGAAUGAUGAAAAUUUUUGUCAUCCUUGAUCUGAUAUUUUUCUA